GAAUACUCUGUAGAGUCACCUCCUUUAAAAAGGGGGAUAAUAUGUGAGAUUUUCCAUACUGAGGGGAUAGUACUUUCUUUUAAGGUCCUAUUAAUCAAUACAGAGAUGGGGUAGGCUAUAGCUUUUGCACUUAGUUGGAGGUAUUCUGCU